rnacentral:rRNA from 1 species
AUUGAACGCUGGCGGCAGGCCUAACACAUGCAAGUCGAACGAGUGGCGGACGGGUGAGUACUGUCUGGGAAACUGCCUGCUGGAGGGGGAUAACUACUGGACACGGUAGCUAAUACCGCAUACCAUCAGAUGUGCCCAGAUGGGAUGAGCUAGUUGGUGGGGUAACGGCUCACAAAGGCUACGAUCCCUAGCUGGUCUGAGAGGAUGAACAGCCACACUGGAACUGAGACACGGUCCAGACUCCUACGGGAGGCAGCAGUGGGGAAGAUUGCACAAUGGGCGAAAGCCUGAUGCAGCCAUGCCGCGUGUAUGAAGAAGGCCUUCGGGUUGUAAAGUACUUUCAGCGGGGAGGCGUUACCCGCAGAAUAAGCACCGGCUAACUCCGUGCCAGCCGCCGCGGUAAUAC